GACGAACGCUGGCGGCGUGCUUAACACAUGCAAGUCGAACGGAAAGGCCCUGCUUUUGUGGGGUGCUCGAGUGGCGAACGGGUGAGUAACACGUGAGUAACCUGCCCUUGACUUUGGGAUAACUUCAGGAAACUGGGGCUAAUACCGGCUAGGAGCUCCUGCUGCAUGGUGGGGGUUGGAAAGUUUCGGCGGUUGGGGAUGGACUCGCGGCUUAUCAGCUUGUUGGUGGGGUAGUGGCUUACCAAGGCUUUGACGGGUAGCCGGCCUGAGAGGGUGACCGGCCACAUUGGGACUGAGAUACGGCGCAGACUCCUACGGGAGGCAGCAGUGGGGAAUAUUGCACAAUGGGCGGAAGCCUGAUGCAGCAACGCCGCGUGCGGGAUGACGGCCUUCGGGUUGUAAACCGCUUUCGCCUGUGACGAAGCGUGAGUGACGGUAAUGGGUAAAGAAGCACCGGCUAACUACGUG
rnacentral:rRNA from 1 species